UAAUCCUUGUAGCUGUUUAUGCAUCUUGUAAUAGUAUACUAUAGAUGAGUAAUAUGCAAUCUUGACAUGUACGUGUGUUAUUAAUAAGUACUUAAUGGUGAAGAAUAUUAAAUGUUGUUUUACCAGCAUGAUAUCUCAUUUUGAUAUCACAAUAAUAACUAAUAAUUCUGUUCAUCAAGUUAGGCUGUUACAAUGAUAAUGAUCCUUUGUAAUGGUUCCUAGCCUAGAAAUCCAACACAGUACAUGUAAUUUAGUCUGGUUUGGUAGAGGUACCAUUUACAUCGCAAGUUGUACUAAGGGUUAUGAUACAUAAUUACAUGUACCAUUCACAUGUAUACUAAGAAAUGAUUAUAUUCUGUUAGCUGCAAUAAUACUAAUGACUAUCAUGAUAGCUACUAAAUACUGAUGUAAUUAUUAAUAAUGCAAUUCUCUAUUCUUGUUGUUGUAUUCCUGGACUACUAUUCUUGUAUAUCUUUGUCUCAUAUUGAUAUUUCUUCCUUUCUUUUGCCUUUCUCUCCACCUAGUACAUGUAAAUGUACAUCUAACUUUUGCUCUUUCUCUUUUCGUCCUAUAAAGGAUUCUCCUGUCUCUCAUGUUCUUUGUCUUUUUGUGUUAACACAAGCUUAUAGUAUCAUAUUGUAACAGUUUUGGGUCACAGAUGCAUUGCUUGUCAAGAUUCAAGAUCCCAUGAAAUCCACCUGCUUUUUAUUUUUGGCGAAAGAUGUGGGAACAGAACAAUCCUAACAACAUGAUGGAGAAUAGAAUUAUGACAAAAUGCUAAGAGAAUUCAAAGCAUGUCCCAUUUGAAAAAUGCUGUUAACUAUACUCAUAAUCAAGAAACAGUUUGUUCCAUAGACAUUAUCAUAUAAAGGCUGUGUUAAGAUUAAUAUGCACUAAUGCAAUGAUAAGUCGUAUGUGAUGUAAAUGUACAUGUAUUUGAGUUAAUGGAUUACUAAGUAAUUGUAAUGGUAGUUGUCACAGGCCUAUGUCACUGAGUCCCUGACUGUACAUGAAUGUACAAUGUAUUCUCAGAUAAAUUCAUUAACAAUGACAUUGCCUUCUGAGCACAGAUGGCAAUGAAGUUACCAUUGCCAUUACUAUUACUUUUUUAAUAACAAUUUAGUGCUGUACACCUUCCUCUCAUUCCUCUUUUUGUUUCUCUAUCUCUUUAGUGUCACCAUUUUCUUGAUGCAUCAAGCUUAGGAGAUACUGAGGUCAUCAAU